rnacentral:lncRNA from 1 species
GAUUAAUAAAAUUUGUCUAGUGAAUGUGGUUUCUGUUAAUAUAAAUUUUCCUAGAAUUAAAAUUUCUUAAUUCUAAUAAUUAAUUUUAUUGGAUGCUGUUUAGGCUGAAAUCCAAGAAACUCACAAGAAAUCCAAGUUUGCUUUUAAAUUUUAUCUAUGUAAUUCUUCAAAAUGAAAUUACAAAAUUUUAAAAUAUAUUUCCCUGUUUCUGAAAAGAUAUUUUGGCAAAAUUUCAAAAUUUAUAGUAGAUACUGUGAUUCAGUUCAGUGGAUUUCUUUAGGUAAUGCAGUGUUACAAUGUAUAGUCCACAAAAUGGAGUUAAAACAACAUAUUUACAAAGAAUGAAUUUUAUCUAUUUUUAUAAAUGAUUUAUUUUUUAAAAAAUGAAUAUAGCAAUCCACUAAGGACACAUUAGAUAGGUGAUUAUGAAAAUUAUGCAUGAUUUAAGAAACUGCAUAAGAAAUUAUUCAUAUAUCAGGUUUUAUCUGAAUAAACUUUUCCCCUGUUUACUUAGAUCAGCUGAAGUAACUACUCUAGACAGACAAAUUUAGCUCAGAACUAGGCUCCAUCUUUGGCAUUGUUUCUGAGCAAGUGAAUGCAUUAGUCUUGCCAAAAAUUCUUUUACUAUUCAUUGAAAAUAUUUCUUCUAAAUAUAACUUUUAUACCGAUUAUUAAGAAAUGGCAAUAAUUAAACAGCCUACUUCCUAGAAGUUACUGUUAUGGACUUAAAUUCACUUGGCAUCACCAGCAAAAUGCUUGUUGCUAAGUCUGCACAGACAUAUAGAUAAAUUGUUCCUGUACACUCUUUAUGGUAUUAAAUGGAACAUUAAUUUGUAGAAAUCUUGAUUUAUAACAGGGGUGAAAUUCCGGAAUUCACCUCCCCUUCGCCUAAAUUUAAACCCUCGAUGUUCAUUUUCCCUCUGCAUUUUCCUGGUGUAAAAACUUCCCUGUGGGAUGUAAUUGGCUUAAAAAAAAGGGGGGCAAUCAAGCAAGAACAUUUUCCCCUUCGUUGGUACAUCACCUAGAAACGAGCCUAGUCGCCCAGACAUCCGGUUUUGUUGUAUCUUAUACGUAUAUAAUUUUUUUUUUGCUUUUUUUACACAAUUAUCAUUAUAUGAUCAAAACUGGCACAAGUGCGUGGGUUAUCUGUAUCUCCACCCCAUUUUGACUACACACUUCCUUAAUGUUGCAUCGCAACAUUGGAGAACGUUAUCGAACAACGAUCUUACAACGAGUUUAAUUCACUUUAAGUCCCUUUCGUUUGAGCUUUUACAUUUUCAAAAAUCCGGUCCGUAUUUGGGUCAAGUGUAAUUUCGUGUGGCGAGAGACGUCACGAUACGGAAUAAGCAAAAAAGGGUUUCGGUAUCCCGUAUCGCAGGUGUUUCGGUAAUAAUAAUAUGGCGUGUUUCUGAGGACACUGACACGUAUUUAUGCACUAACACAGACGGCAAGAUGUUUGCAUUACAAUUGCCGACGUAACGUGCUACCUCACAUACGCAUCGGUGUGUGUGUACCUUACACGAGUUCAAAAUCCGUUUCCAGUUAAUACGAUUUUUUCGCGUUCGGAGACGAAGAAUCUCGAAUGUCAGUUAUUGACAUUAUUCUCCGAAACCCUUUGGCAAUUUUAUUGGAUGCUUUCCCAGAAAGACCUUGAAUUGUUCAUUCUCUGUUCUGCUUUCCUUUUCCUCGUAUUUGAACUGCCGUAUUGCUGGGGGGUUUUUUUUAAUUGUGUUUGUCAGAAUCGAGUUUUUGGUCACACGUUGCGUUUAGAAAAAACAAGAAAAUGUCAAUGGACACGAUGAAUGUGGCGAAAGCACUCCUGUCUCAAAAUGUAGCGGUGGAGGGGUUCGAUAAAGGAAGUUCAACACCUGCUUCGACACCAGUGUCAAUGGCCUGCUGGUGUAUUAUAAACUUCAAAUCGUCCUAUUCUAUCACGCAAAUGAUACAAGAUUGCGAGAUUUUGUUAGUAAAUAAAUAUGGCAGCAGCGAAUUCUAAAUGCUUUUCUUGUUUUGCCUCCGUUUCGGUCUACAACACAGGAGUUUUUUUUUUCCCUUAGACAGGAAGCGCAAUCGAAGGAAGAUGGGAGGAGGCCAAUGACAAAUUUCCCAAAGGUUGCACUUAGGCAACUCGUGACACACGAGGUCGAUAACGCUCGGAGGUGCGACGCGUGCGAUUUUCAGGAACACUGAACUUGUUUCUGCACAUCUUUCUCUCCAGCCGACGGUUCAUCGGAGGUUAUUAAAAAUAAACCAGGUGAUCGAGUGCUCGUCUAUGUAGGAAACAUUUUUCCUCCACCAGAUUAGUUUUAAAUGUUAAUUCUUUUUUUUUCCAUUAGCGAUGUAGGAGGCCCCGUAUGGGUAUGCUGUGUUUCAUAUCUAGAAAAAUAUUUGUACUACUUCGAUCACUUCGUAGAUAAAAAAAAAAAAAAAAAAAAACUCGAAAUUCGUGCCCGGCAACAGAUAAAAUCCACC